ACAUUUCUUCAUUUUGAUUCGAGGUGUCUAAGAGUGCUGAGCCCAGUGCGGCACCUCUGAGACUCUGCACCAUGCCCCCCAAGUUGCAGAGCAUUCUCCCAGCCCUGUACCUCCUGGGGGUCUUGACCCUACUGCUGUGCCCUUCAGGCCUGUGUGGUUGCUAUUAUCCUCCUGUCAUUGACCAUGGACGUCCUAAACUAAGUACACACACAUUCGCACCUGAUGAGGCUAAA